GAUUUUAUAAAAUAAAAAGAGUUUGAUAAAAAAAGAUGAAGGAAAAUAAGGGAAUUAGAGGGAGGAAGAGAAGAGAAGAGAGAGAAAAGAGAGAAAAGGGUUAAAACGAAUCAAGAUAUUGAUUGUUUUCUACUCUUUCGGGCAACUUUCACUUCUCUUCUUCGUCCUCAUCUUCAUCUUCAUUAUUCUCGAAUUGACUGUUGUCUUUUCUCUCUCUUUUUCUCUUUCAUAGUUUACAUGAUAUUUCAUUAGCUUUUUUCAUCAUCUCUUGAUGAUCCAUUUUGUUCAAAAAAGUCGAACCUUUUUUAUUCUCAUUUUCAUUCGAAUUCAGAUUUCAAAGAAUUUUUUCUGUUGAGGAUAAUCAGUUUUCUGUUUACUUUUUUGUUUAUUCCUCUUUCAAUUGUCUGUGUUUUUUUUUCCAUUACAUUGAUUCAUCAUGUUCAUCAAUUAAUUGUGUUUACUUUUCUAUCUUCGCAGGAUAAUCAUUUUUUCUGUUGAUCAUCCUGAAAAUUUUCUUGUGAAUUUCUCAUCAAUAACCAAAUUAUUGAGAACAUAAGUGACCAUUGGAAAGAAAAUCAUUUCUAAGUAUUUAAUGGACAUUGUGAUGAAGAAAAAAAAAUGAAAUUGAUUGCGUGAUGAUUAUCGAUGAAUGGAUAUCAUCAUGAGAAAGUGAUUAUAUCGACAAGUUUUCCACACGCGGAGAAAUAUUGAUCUUAAAUGUGAGAUAACUGGUGAGGCUCGUGAUUAAUUUUCAAUGAGGAGGAAGAGGAAAAUCAUCUCAACCCAAGUAUUCACGCGAUAUUAAAAUAUCCGAUUGAUUAUCAUGUUAAUUAUCGAUAAUCAAGUCCAAUCAGUUUACAUUAUUAAGAACAAACUAACACGGUGAUAAAUGAUUCGGACUUAAGUCUAAAUCAGCUGGAUCGCCUUGAUGAUGUUACCAAUUGGAAUUAUAAUCAACUAAUUUUUAAACGAACAAAUUGAAGAUCCUCAUGAAUGAGAAUAUGAUCAAGUCUUAAUGAGCAAAAAUUCUUCUUUCUCUCUUUUGCUUCGGUAUCAACCAUUUAUAUCGAAACUUGUUACAUCUUUUCUCUUCAUACUUGCUUGUUUUAUCUCUUCAUUAUCUUCUUCAGUUCUGUUAAUUUGCUGCUCAUGAGCAAGAAUCUUCUAUGAAUUCACUCAUUCAGGCGACUGAGUCGUUCCAAGGUUAUCAUCAGUACUCACCAAGAACGAGAUCUUCUCUCUCACCCUCAACAGGAUCUUCUCACAUCUUUUUUCAAGGUAACCACAUUCGUACUCAUGUAAUUUAAUCUCUAACAAGAAAUCAACACUGUGCUCACUCAGAGAUGGACCGAUAGAAUUUACCAGUUUUCAUCAUUUCAAUAUUUAUUUGGAAACAUUUUUACAACACCAACACCACACUGAGAUAGACGAUGAGAAAACAAAACAAUAGCAACGAAACUAAGCCUUCAAUUCAAAUCAACAUCAUGCUAAGAAUUCAAAUGACAAUGUAAAUGCUACAUGAUGAUAAUUCAAAGAUGAACCAAAAACCAACAAGUUUCAAAGAGGAUUAAAGAUUUGCAGAUAUUCAGACACAAGGAGGAUAAAGAUAAUCAAAUGAAUGAUACUGGCAAGAGAAAUACUCACAAGUAAUUAAGAGAAACUAAUCAAGUAAACAAACGAUUAAUAAUCGUAGUGAAACAAACAAUCAACAAGUUUCUAAAUUCAAUCAACUUAUUGGGCUCAGUGCCAAAAAUCAAAAUGAAUGAAGACCAAGUAAAUUAGUAGACUAGUUGAUUAACAAAUUUACAAACUAAACAGCAAAAAGUUUAAUUCGGUUUCUAGGACUUAGUGGUGAUCUGAGAUUUUUUUCGACCCACAAGAAGCGUCCAGGGAAAGUUCAAUCAAGAGCGAAACUACAAAAGAGUAGAGAAGACGAAAGAAGAGGAUGGAGUUGAAGAGAAGGCGAAAGAUGAAAAGUUGAUCUGAAAUCAUUGAAGCAAAAGGUUCUAACAGCGUAACCUUUAUGAUGUCAAUUCUACUUCCUUUAAGGAGGAGUAGAUGGAAAAGGAAAGAAAGAAAAAUUGAGAAAGUCCAAGGUGAAAAGAAGAGAAAAGUCCAAAAGCCUGAUGACAGGAAAGAGAGAAAAGAAAGAGAAAAGUAAUAUUAGACAAACAGAGAUGAUUAUCAUGAAGAUGAGGAAUAGAGAGAGAGAGAGAGAGAGAGAGAGCAGAUCAUUAAAGAGACCAGAUAUUAACGGUGUGGGAGAGAUGGAGAUACUGAAUAAUAUGGUGUUCGUAGGGAAGAUGGAGAAGAGAAUGGAAAAGAGGCAGAUUCGGUAAAAUACACGAUCCAUGACGGAAAAGUAAUAACAGGUUUAAGAAUCUUUUGUGAUUCAUCUUCAUCUCUUCCAGAUAAUCUCAAGAAUCUCCUAUAAAGCGCCAGUUUAUGGUAACAAUAGUCGACAACUUGACGUUGUCCUUUCCUCUCAGUUCUCGUGGUUAAACCUUUUUAGUGCCUCAUCUUCAUCAUCUAAGUAAAUUAACUAAUCUCCCUCUUUUACUUUAGAUCAUAUUGAAGAUCAUUAUCAUUAAGUGAAAGUGAGCUGACGAUGAGAAGUGAUGAUUAUCAUCUUUACAUUAAUACCGCUUCUUAUAAACAACCUUGUGGAUCAACGGGAGAAACUCAACUAUUGCAACUAUUACGAUGAUAAUCAUAAGUGAACAUAAAAAACUGAGGUAAAAAUGAAGACAAGAAUUGCAAGAUGACAUUAUUAUAUUUAUCUCCAUCUUACCUGGUUCAGUUCAUCGUUUAAAAAGCAAUUUAUUUAAUUUAGUUUGUAGAAGUUGAAACCUAAUGAAAAAGGCGUCAGGUGAAUACCUCCUACUUUACACCCAAGGCGAGAUAAUGAUUCGCCUUAAAUCACCUAAAAAGAAUCAAAUUAAGUGUGGAUAUGGUUAACAGAGUUUAGAUGAUUGUUAAUGAAUGAAAUUGUCCCAAUGAUAACAACGAUCUAGUCUCCACUUUACAACUCAAUUGCAUUUCGCUAUCAACACCAUUUACUAUCAUUACAUUACCAUUAGCUGGAUAUUUCUAGGUGGCUACACCUCGUAAUACAAUUAACCAUCAUGAUUAAAAUGAUUAUCAUUUUUAUGAUUAUUAUAUUUACCUUAAAACAGUUUAACUGGUUAAGCUUUUAAUAGUUGUAACCUUAUCAAUGAUUAGUAUCAUUCAAGUUAAUCAUCAUUUAAAUUACAUUUAAGGCAACUAAUUUUUCUAGGUAAUCAAAUGAACGUUGAAACUUUUGUAUCCUGAUAGUUGAUUUAAGAUUACGAUUCCGUAUUAGACUGUAAUCUGUUAAUCAAAUCAAUCUUACAACCAAAUAAUUAAAUCUAAUCUGAAUGGUGUCGAUUAAAUUUAUUUAAUAAAUUAAAUGCGACAACGAGAAGAGGCUUCUUAUAAAUUGAUUAAAUUUUCUGUAGCCAGUUAAUCAAUUGGUAAUCAAGCUAAAAACACCCAACUAUUAAUGAGAGAAUCAUAAUCAAUUAUUUAUUAGUUAGUUGAAUUAGCUUUUCAUGUUGAUUAGUUGAUAAUUAGCUGUAAAUGGAAUCAAUGUUAUAAAGGAUAAGACAGUUAAUUAGCAAAGAAAAUCAACAACUCAAUUAACAAGAUCAAUUAAAUCUAAUGAAAAGUUAUCAAUACAAUUAACCAUGACCAAGUUGCAUCAGAGUAUAAAAAAUGUUGAAUGAAAAAAUAUAGAAAUGAGUAAAUGGGAAAUAUAAUAAACUUAAUGAAAAUUUGAUUCUCAUGAUUAAAACGUUGAUAAUAAUGAUAAGCAAUGUAUGUCAAUUGUCAGAAAGUUGAUUAAAAUUGUGAUCAACAAUCAUACAUGUUAUUAUCACUGAAUCAACAGUGAAAGUGUUAACAACAAUCAACAAUCAAACAACAGAAUCAUUGGAAUCGUUUUUUACUAUUAAACAACAAUUCAAAUGGAGAUGAUAAUGGAAACGAUGUUAGAAGGUCAAUUCACUUGGCUUAACAUGAUGAAGAUACGAUGAGGAUGUGGAUGAAAACAGAAUGAAAGAGAGAGAGAGAGAGAAGAUGAGAAAUUGUAUCCUUAUUUUCUUCUUCUCAUCAUGAUCAUCAUCUUCAAAGGUGUGAGAAAGUAAAUUUGCUGCCAAAAUGAUUAAAAGUGAUCCUUAAUUCAUCACCAGUUUAUUCUGAUAAUUGGUUGAUUCAAUUGUUGGUAAACAAAUAUAACAACAAUCAAAUCAUAAUAAACAUGAAAACACAAAAGUUAUUCAGUUAUAAGGAGGAAAAGUUCAUUGAAGCUCAACAGUAUUUAUAUUUAGCUUAUUAAAAAAAAGUUCAUUUUGAUUGUUUCCAUUUUGAUUUGAGACAAUCAAGAAGAAAGAGAAAGCCUUUGUCGUUAUUUCAUUAACGUCAACUGAUUGUGACAAUUAACUUUUGAUUGUUCGUUCAUUUUUAUGUUCGUUAUCUUCUUCUUCUUAAUUUUCAAUAAUCAGUUCGGUUAUUUUGUAUUUAACCAUAAACACAACAAUCAGUUGCUGAUCGAAUUCAAUUUUUCUUGAUGAUCAUCAUUUGUUAAUCAAAUCAGAGUAAAUUUAGA